rnacentral:lncRNA from 1 species
CGGCUCCGCCCGCCGCCGCCGCCGCUGCAGCCCUUCGCGCUAACGGUCGGUGGCAGCCCACGUGCGCCGCCCGCCGGGGACUCGCGCCUGCCACGAGGGAGCGUCCGCGUCCCGCGAGCCCGCUCCGCGGAGCAGAGGUGAGACCCCUCCGAGCCGAGUCCCAGUGCCGCGCCGCCGGCUUCCGCCUCCGAGCCACGGCCGCGUCCCCUGGUGGACCAGGAGGACGCGGCGGGGCCCCGCGCGUGGGCCGCGAGAACCUCCGAUACGCCUCUCUCGGUGUCACGGUUCGCGGGAGGACGCGCGUGAGCGUGUCCCCUGCGUCCACGCGUGUCCUCUCCAUCACUCUCUCGGCUCUGGUCCAGUACUAUGGGUUUCUGAAAUGGAGCCGUGGAGGUUUGUGCCACCGAGAAUCCGAGUCUGUCACGCAGACAUCCUCAUUACAUAAUCCUACCACUCUGGACCCACGGCUGUUUCUCUCCCGCCCCCACCACCACCCUGAUCCCCCCACCCCGCUUUUGGUCUCUUCUUUUUUUGUGUCAGGGAGGACUGGAAAGAAUCCUGAAAGAUAUUGAAGCAUUUAGAAUUUAUGGUUCUGUUGCCGUGGUUGUCACCUCCGCUCUACGUCAAAUUUAAGACUCAUUUCUUAAGGAUGUCUCUAUUUUCUGCUUUAUUUGCACAUUGAUGGCUCUGCUGCUCGGCUGGCCACGGCCGCCCGGCUUCUGAGAUAGAAUUGUGCUAAUAUGUGAAAGGGAAGGACUGAUUAUUAGUAGGUAGGCGGAAUUCAGAUUGCAUCAGGCUGAUGUCCUCCCUUUUUUUAGAUGAUCGCUUUCACGUUUUCUCUGGUAAACAAUGAGUUUUAACUUUGUAUCUUGGUGGUGAGGAUCUGUUCCCCAUUCUUUCCCUUUCUGUUCAUCAGCUUUUCCAUUUGAGAAUCAGUUUACUUGUUAGCCGUAGUUUCACAGGUCUCUUGUCACUGAAUCUCUUUUCUCCACCAGCAGAGGUGAGACCAACCCAACUCAUCUCAGAUUACCCACAAUUUUUUUUUCUUGGCUUUUCUUUUUACUUACCACUGCAUUUAUAUCUUUCUGAAUAUGUGAACUUACACUAGGGAUAGGUUUGCUCUGAUUGUUUUUAACAUGGGGCUCUUAAACUUCAUAUUUAAACUUACUAAGGGUUUAUUGGUUUGUCCUGUCUGCUUGGAUCCAGUUAUGCAUAACUCUUAAAAGGUAAAGCUUUCAAACAUGAUCCAUAAUUGUAUUGUCAGGACAUGGCCAUGAAGCUUGCUCUUCGAGUUUUGACUGUAUAGUUGUCAUUGUUUCAAUCAAGUGCAAAAGAGGUUACUCCUGUUUACUUAGUGUAAUAGCUGUUUACUGUUAAAACUUUAAAGACUCAUAAAAGUAGGGCUGCUGUAUUUUAAAGAUCUCAUCAUUCUUGUGGGAGAGACACAACACCAACUCCAGGAAAGGCAACAGAUUGCUUCUGUCAUAUCGCUUGGCUGUUUUAGAGUGUACUUAAAGGAUUAUGAUUGAUAAGGCUGUCUUGCCAGAGAAUGUUGACACAGGUGUGCAUCGUUAUCUUAAUUAAGAUCCUGAGAAAAUGUUGUCUAUAAAUGGAGACAUAAGAAGGGCAGCAUAUUUUUUUGUACAGUUUUGCUUUUGGAGAAUUUAAUUGCACUUGAAACCUCUCUUUCUGCUUGCAGAUUUUGUGAGCAGCUUGGCAUCAGAAGUUUUAGAGAGAAAUGGUAGUUUAAUGUUAAGUGUUCUGGCAUGUAGUAAUACUACUUGUGGCUUUUUGGCAAUACAUUUUCUCAGCUUGCUUUCUUUGUACUCUACCUUUGUAGAAUAAAUGGUUUCUAAUUUUGAAAAAAAAAUUAAAAACAUAAGACUGCAGUAUAUGAUUAAGCAAACAUUGGUGUUUAGAAAACACCUUUUGAGGAAGCCAUGCUUAAUGUUCAGAAACAGGAAUAUGACAAAAAGGUGAAUACAUGAGAAAUGUAUGCCACUGGAAUUUUUUUGGAGAGGAAAGAGUCUCCCAUGAUGCCUCAAUGGUGGAAAACAGUUUCUUUUCCAUAUUAUCAAGUGCCUAGCUACAACAUUCGUGGAAUGCCUUGUUUUUAGUUCUAGAAAUAGAGGAGAACUUAUCUUUUCCAAAAUAUUGUUCUGUAAAUUUGAAUUGAUGAGCAAGUGGAGACGAUGCAUUAGUUUAAGGAUCUGAAUCAUAACCUGGGUGUCCACUAAAAUAACAUUACUGUCCUUCACUCUAAAUCUCUGACUGCAAAAACAAUGGCAAGGCGGAUGCUGCUGAUUAUAUUACCUUUGGCUUACCCAGCACCUAAUACCCCUUAACAUAAGGAUUACAUUAAGAUUUCCCCCUCUCUUUGUAGCUCACUCUUUCCUGGAAGCUGGCUGUCCAUCAGUGUGUGUGAGAGAGGUGUGUGUGUUUUCCCUUUAAUAUUAAAACUCAUUGUAGAAAGAGGAAAUGAAAGUAGAGGAGACCACAGGCAUAUGAUCAUGAUCGGAAAAGCCAGGUGUAGAGUCACAGCUCAUUCUUGACUCCAAGGAUAAUUAGCUGGUUAGAAUUACAUGGUAAACUAAAAUCAAAGGGAGACUUAUUUAGAUUUGUUUGCUCAAACUAAAACAAGAGCGUUAAUUUAGAGAUAAUUGCUUUAUUUAUCCCUCAGCCCCCCAUCAAAAUUUUUUUCUUUGGCAGCUGCAUCUCCAUCCUCAUGCUAUUAUCCAUGUGUUAUUUAAAAAUUUAUUGUGUUGGAAGAGAUGAAAUAGGAACAUGAACUAAUUGCAUAUCAUCAGUUUUGAUUGAUAGCAUCAAGUAAUUAUUAAUAUAUUUGUAUAUUCUAGAAAUAUUAGGAAAAAUUAAAAAUGUUCUUUAGUUGAUAACAUAGAAAUAAAUGAAAUCCUAUAAUCCUGAAUGGAUUAAAUAUGUUCUUUUAAAUAGAUUAUAAAUAUUAUACUUUGAAACCAUGUUUUUAUUCUAAACUAGUCCAGCCUGUUUUUGAGUGGUAGUAUCUCAGUAUCUUUGUUUUUUUUUUUUUUUUCUCCUCAUUUUCUAGGUUAUGUGUUGAUGUCUGUAUUUUUAACAUCUUUUUGGCAUAUUUGGUAGCUGUUUGGUGGAGAAUAAUUUUUCUAAAUAGGAUAACAGCUGGGACAGCUUUAAGAAUGUGUAAAAAUCUAGAAAUUCUAUUUUCCUUUUCAAUAAUGAGUUUGGAUUGCUUUCUCAGCACUACUCUGAAGUGUGAUACUGAUAACUUAUUUCUGCAUAAAUCUGCAAUGUUUUUAUAGCUGUAUUAUUCCUAAGCACCAAUUUAGCUUGGCAAAUUAACUUAAAUGCUUCAAAAUUGAAAAACAGUAUAUUCUAAUGUAGUUUGAGUUUAAGUCUUUAUUAGUGAGGAUGAACUUGACAUUUGUUCAGGAGAAGGGAAUAUAAUUUUCUCCUGCAGUUGUGAUUUAUGUAAUCCAUUUUUCUAGCCUUUUCUCAAGCUAAUGAUAUUCCACACCUUGAUACAGCUUUUAUUUGUUUAUUCACCAUAAUAUGGAGUGAUACCUUGGAGAAAAUUAGAUUAGAUAUUCAUAUCUAAUAUCCCAGUAGUAUUGCUAGUCUUCUGUGUUUCCUUAAACAGAAUCAUUUCCAUUUUCUAUACAGGUGAUAAGUAUGAUGCUUCCAUAAUACGUUUGGAUGUUUUCAGCUAAGUUCACUUUCAAACUGUGGGGUUCCUCCAAAUGUUGGCUGAAAUUUAUUCUUGCAUGUCCCAAGGCUCAUCUGCAGGUGAGUGUCUGCACACACACACCGUGGGGAUGCUUGUGUGUGGAGUGACUCAAAAUAGCAUGAGGGUUGGCUUUACCAAAGAAUUGACACUGGUGACAGAGGCUAAGUACAGAAGGUAGAGAAUGCCACUUGAGGCCUUUCAAUAUUGAAAUUCCAUUAUUGCAUUCACCGAGAGUGUAGUAAAUAGAAAAUUUUUGGAUUCGUAGAAUGACACUGGAUAAUUUAUUUAUUUUUAUUUGUCAUGUUUCCUGGAAUUACAUUGAAUAAUUCAUUUGAAUGAUACUACUGGGUAGCAAAAUUUAUAAAGUAACUCAUUACCUUUCAUAAAUAUGAAGACUAAGAUAUUUUAUAGAAAUACAAUUAUUAUUUUUUAAAAAGACUCUACUUGUACCAAAUCACAUUUUGGGAUUAUUUUAAUUACCUAGUUCUUUUAAUGGUGAAUUUUGUGAUCCAGUCAUGAGUACCAAACUCUUAGUGGUGAAGAGUAUACAGGUGUAGGCAGAACUUGCCAUUUCUCAUGAAAAUUUGGCGGCUGAAUAUAGGUGCAUGAGAAAGAAUUAUUUUGCAGAAUAUUUGUGUUGUCUAGUGGGCAGAGCAAGGAAUAGGACUUAGUAUCAGAAUAUUUUGUUGAGUAAAAAAAUUAGUAUAUGACAAAAAUAAAAAUCUAGUUCUACAGAAGGCAGUAUAGUUAGCAUAUAUUUCGAUAGAAAAAAAAAUGCUUCUCUGUGAUACUUUCUAAGGCAUUAAAGUGAUUUUUACUGUAAUGUGAAAUAAUAAUUGAUUAUAAAUAAUAGACUUGACUUCCCCUGUUACUGAUUGGGACUUAUGGAAGGGAGUUUCGUGUAUGGCCGAGAGCUGAGGCAUUCCAGCAAGUGAGAAAACAUGACACAAAUGUCAAGAAAAUGCUCAGCGGGGAGGGGGAGGGCAGUCUGAUUCCUCUUUGUUUACCUUUAAGCUUUCUUUUUUGUUUUGUUUUAAACCAUGUACAGAGUUGUUGAAUUUAAGAGAUGAAAGGAUCUAGAUGGUUGUUUCUUUUUCCUUCUAAGGAUAAAUAUGGGAAAAAAAAUCUAAACAUAUAUGCAGAUUUGUUGAAUUUCACAUCUGUCAACUGCCAAAUUUAUUAUGAAAACUUAUAUUUCACAUGCACUGAAGGUGUAACUCAAAUGUAUUUAAACUCUAUUCCUUUUAUAAUAAAAUAGACGUGGGCAAGGUCUGCCACUGUAGAAACCAGAAGGAAGCGGCCUCCAGUCUUGGGCUAGGGUUGAUUAAUGGAUAAGGUCAUACUAAAUGUUCUCUGGUGGAAAUAGCUAACGAGUAUGCUUUUUGAGAAAUGUAUCAUUCAGGAAUAAAAUCAAUUGAAGUAUUGGUAAUUAAAUUGUGAUCCCACGAAGGGAGGAAGAGGAAGGAGAGAGGGGGCUGACCAUUCUGUUCUUGUUUCUAGGAGUCCACAGUUCCUGAUGGAUCUAGUGUCCUGGCUGUUGGAAGGAGGAGAUUGUGCAGACAGAAAGGUAAUAUUCUCUCUCUUAAAAGAAGACUUUUCUUUGUAAUCCCGAACCAUCAUUAUAUAUAAGAAUUUUGUCCACUAGAUACCUUUUCUUUGAAUUUGGGAUAUGCAAGCAGACUUAUUUUCCUCUGCUAAGUUUUUGAGCCUGCUUCUCUUAGGGUAUGUAAGGGCUGCGUUGGGAACACUGAGAAAUAUCCUUUUGGCAGACUCAGCACCCUUAAAAUAGCUUCUUUCUGAGACUGAGCUCUGUGAUGGUGUCCUGGUCGGUGCUAGUAGGUGACUAACAUUUCAGUUUGUGGUUGACACGCACGCCUGCAGCCUUGUCCCACUGUCCCCGUUUACCUCGCGGUCCUUUGUUGGUUCACUGGGGGAUGUGUUCUCUGCAGGGUGAUUUGCUGCCAGCCAUAGCCAGGCUCAGAGGGAAGGACUUGGUGGUUGGCAGCUGGUUCCAGAGCCCUGGCGAGAAGUGAGCUGGGCCCGCCUGGGGCGUUCCAGUGCGUGCACCAGCAGCUCAGCACAUGGCUGCCUGUCCUGGUUCCGAGCUGUGGGUCUCUCUCUGCUCUUCCUGUAAUCCUAGGCCGGGGUAAAGCUUUCCUUUUCCACUGGCGAGAUUGCUUGGCUACUGAGCCUGCAGCUGUUGUGGGGAUUCCCAUGGAAGGAGGACUCUUGCUUGGUUCUGGGGGAUGCCUUUGGUGCUUUACCCACGUGCUUUUUCGUUUUCAAAAACCUGGAGUUGGCCUUGGAGAAAUACACCUAAGAUUCUUGAAGAACAAAAAUUGGGUUCGAUUUGGAUCUAUCAGAAAAGACUCUACUUCCUGAUGCCAAUCUCCACAUUGAUGAUGCAGGUUAGAUUAGAAAUUGGUGUUUGUAAAAGACCAAUUACUUCGUCUCAGAGGUUUCUACAGGCUUCUGUUGUGGAAUGGUAUUUGUAUCUAUUUGUUUUCCUUGUUAAGAAAAACUACUUUUCUAGUCAUCAAAGAUGUCUGCCCCCUGAACUCUAUCUAGGGAGGAAUAUUAAUAAAACAAUAAAGGACUUCAUGGUGUCUAAUUGUAUAAUUAGGCAAUUGGUAAGAAAUGUGAUAGCUAAAAUUGGUUUCAUCCACUAAAGGAACUAGUGAACAUUUAAAAACACAAACCUUCAGAAAAGAGACUAAUCUUCAUGUCAAAUAGUGUUUGGGGUUAACCCAACAGAAAGGCAAAAUAUACCAAUUUUCGGAUUCUUUUAUUCACGCCUAUACAGAGGGUUAUAAGCAGCUGAGGAAACCGUAAAAUAUAGUGUAAGAAAAAAUGGGAAUAUCAAAGCGAUUAUUUGAAAAGCAGUUUACAUUUGUAAAACUAUUCAAUAUUAUGACCUUGAGCAACUUUUGCUCUUGGAUGCUGGGUUAUCACACUGGUGUUUUGUAUAUCCCUCUGUGGUGUAGCUUUUAUAUGGAGCGCAGGGGUGUGUUUAGAUUGAACGGGUCUUACUGUAUUCCUUUACAGCUGCUCUUAAGUCAUCAAAGUAUCAUCUUGACAUCAAUGGCACUGUUUUUUAAUCAUUGUUUUGAACACAGAAUUAUGGAUAUUCUGAAAUGGAAAUGUCUUAUUUGUCAUUCCAAAUUUUAUUCUCUAUAAUGGACUUUUAAAAUAAAAGGCCUGUGAGUAUACUUUGAGUCCUGGGCUAAUUUUCUAGGCAUCAGAACACAGAAAAGCAGCCUUGAUUAAUUUCAAACUGCAAAAGAGGCAGGUAAAACCGUUUUCAGCGGAAAUUUACUAAUGCAGCAACCCUUUAAAUUAAAUGUUUGUUAACAUAAUAGUGAUGGCAUUUUCUCCUCCUCCUACUUGUGGUUUUGUCCAACUGGAUGUUCCAGUGGCAGUCGCACCGACUGUUAAGUGUUUAAAUGAUGACACCAUUAUGUGAAGUGAUUUUGAAAUGAGAGAUUCCAGCCAAGAAUUACAUCUGCUCCCAUCUCCUUCAAAUCAUACUCUCUGGCAGUGCAGAUUAUGAUUGAUUUGUUUGUGACAGAUUGCAGGAAACAGUCAUUGAUUUUUCAAUAUUUUACCUUAAAAUUAUUUACAGUUGUAACCAUGGGGAGGUAUUUCCAUGGGCUGUCAGCCCCUGAAAGACUAGGAUAAUAUUCCCUGCUCUCUGACAAGACAAAUUACCUGUAAUGAGUGCAGUAGCUGAAGGGUAUACUUUUAUUUUAAAAUAUGUCAAUAACCCCAGUGACUAAACGAAUAUUGAUUUAGCAUAAUGAAGCCUGAGUAAUGUGAAAAUGAGCUUUUUCAAGGGGCUUGGUAAAGACUUUCUUUUUAGCUGGUUAGAAGAAGCUUUUCAUUCUUCCCAGUAGCUGGUUGAAAUCCUGAAUUUUAUAAGCAGGAAUGGUAGUGUUGCUUGUGAUAACUCAAUAUUUCUUCCUCAUUUUAAUAAUUCUUUUCAAGUCUGAUUUUCAGCCAGCAUUUUUGCCAUGGAAUAGCUACUGAUUUGUUUGAUGCUAUCUUAAACUGACUUCAGUAUCUUUACAAUUUCAAUAUAUUUUGCAUGGAAACCUCUGGUACUGAAUAUUAAAAUAUAACUGUAUCCACAGUUGUUUGUAGAGGACCUCAUAAUUGCAUGAAGACAUUUCAAAUGGGUCAUCGUAGUAUUUAAUGUGCCAUAUUUUAUGGUAGACUGACUUUCAGUCUCUGGACAUCAGAUUGCGUUCCCUGGGAAUGAAGAUCAAUUUACUUAAGUACUGAUUUUUUAGGCAUCAGUGCAGGUUUUCAUUUUUGUUAGACUUUUGCUCUUUUUUUGGGGAGGGGGAGGAGUGUAUUAAGAUCUCAAUCCUUCCAACAAAAUAAUAGAAGUAUAUACCUGCAUGUUUAUGUGCCCAGGUGUUUGAAGAUUUUAUGUCUGAAUAUCUCCAUAUCUAACUUGGUAGGCGGAAAAAUAGGGUAGACAGGGCUGGGAGUGCAGGGAGAAAAGUAAGCAUUUGAACAAGAUGUCAAACUGAUAUUUCAUGAGCACCUAACUCAUUCUGUGGUAACUAGUAGUCAUAAAAUCAUUAAAACCAAUAGGCAAAAUCCCUUCAGAAAUUAAAAAGGAGUUAUGAUUUAAAGGAACUUCAGGUGGCUGUAUGAAUGCAAGCUCUCCUACGGCAUGGCAUAUUUCUUAUAUGGAAAUUAUAAAUACAUCCUUUGAUGGCAGAAAGGAUAGACUUGAGAGUAUAAAAUAAUUGUGUUUUUUCCCCAGGAAUUUGCCUAAGGGUAUGACACAGAUGAUCUCUGCCACUGUCUUUGUUGUGUUCUUAAAUGAACUGGGUGCUUCACGAAAUCCUACACUUGUGAUUCCACAUGCUGCAAGAUUUCAUGUGGCCAUCGGUACCUGCCUCCCAUGUUCUUUCUCUUUUUCUACAAAAGUAGUUUUAAAAUCCAGAAAUAUGAGGAAAGUGCCGUCAUCGUAUAUGAAACUAGUAGGCCCAAUUCUUCAACGAUUGAUUUGGUCUUAUGGUUUUUUUAAAUCAACGCAGUGUCCAUAGAAUGACUUAUGUCUUCCAGAAAAAAUAAUUUAGAUUUUUCUUUCUCAGUAGAUUUUUGAAUAAAGCAUAUUUUCUUCAGGCAGAUCUAUGCCAAGAAAAACACCUAUGUUGAUGUUUAGUUUGGAGUAAAAUUAAAAAUGCAUUAAAAUCAAUACUUUGUGACCCCACCAUUUAGUAUGAACGUGUGUGCUCAUUUUACGGCACACAGAGAACUGUUUAUGUGAGUUAACUUUAAGAGAUGUGUAGGUAAAGUGAAGUUUUUUUCUGGGAAAAUUAUUCUCUUCUGGAUACUAUGCCCUUCUCUCUUUUUCUUUUUUUUUUCCCCUUGAAAAAAAAUUACCCUGCCCCUGUGCUUCUAUAGAGAACAACUAUUUAUAUAAAAAUUUUUAAAUUUUGCAAGUCAUUGCCUGGGGUUAGUUAAAACACUUGUUUUUGAAAAUGACGAAAUACCCCUGCCUUAAAAAAUCUUUCUUAUAUUUGUAUCUAUUAAGAUAAACAGUUUACUUUGAUACGGUACAUACCAACCUAUUUAGUUAAUUAUUUUUCCAGAAUUCACUUUACUGUGUUUCGUCUAACCUUUAUGAUAACUUAAUAUAGGGACAAAUUAGCAUAUAAUUCUAUUUUCCAUGUGACCUCAACCAGUUGCAGAAUUGUACCACCACUGCCGGGGGCCCCUGGAUAGUCCAUGUAGACUGUAGCACGAAAUGUUUGUAAGUGUUCGGUGCCGCCUGGCUAGUGUUUUUGUUACCAAAAAUGUUUUAAAGUAAGCAAUUAGAAGAAACACUUCACCCCAUUACCAAGUUAUUAAAAUACCUCCUAAGUUAGCAUUUUUAAUUAGUGUACAUAAUUGAUUGGUGAUUUGUCUUCUCCCAGGCAGAAGCAGCCUGGUGACGUUCAGUGUGAUCAGAAAGUGUAAGGUACUGGGGACUGACCCUGGCAGUGAUCAUGACGACUAAAUGACUUUUUUUUUCCUUUUAGAUUCAGCCAUCGGUCUUUGAAAUUUCCUGACAUCCGUUUCAGUCUAGAUGGAAAAGAAUUGGAAAAAUCAAGCGCUCAGGGGAUUUAAAUAUGUUUUGAAUGUUUCUGUUUAUAGACGACAGUAUUUUUCCAGUUGAGCUCCUUGGUGUCCCUGUAGGGGAAGGGUAAACUCUUCUUCAUCAUCAAUUUUAUUGAAAAUGCUUAAGACAUAAAAUGUUGCUGAAAUAAUUCCUGUUUGAAACAAAGUGAAGGAAAAAAAUGAAAUAAAUUUUAUAUGGUGACUGUU